rnacentral:rRNA from 1 species
GACGAACGCUGGCGGCGCGCUUAACACAUGCAAGUCGAGCGGUAAGGCCCUUCGGGGUACACGAGCGGCGAACGGGUGAGUAACACGUGGGUGACCUGCCCCCGACUCUGGGAUAAGCCCGGGAAACUGGGUCUAAUACCGGAUAUGACUUUCAGUCGCAUGAUUGUGAGUGGAAAGUGCGUUCUUAAUUGGGCGUUUCGGUUGGGGAUGGGCCCGCGGCCUAUCAGCUUGUUGGUGGGGUGAUGGCCACCAAGGCGACGACGGGUAGCCGGACUGAGAGGUUGGCCGGCCACAUUGGGACUGAGACACUGCCCAGACUCCUACGGGGGGCUGCAGUAACGAAUCUUCCGCAAUGCACGAAAGUGUGACGGAGCGACGCCGCGGUGCGGGACGAAGCCUUUUCGGGUGUAAACCGCUUUUGUAGGGGAUGAUACGUGGGCUUCGGCCUACUAAGACACGUCCCUGCGAAUAAGCNUCGGCUAACUACGUGCCAGCCGCCGCAGUAAG